rnacentral:rRNA from 1 species
GAUUACCCGCUGAACUUAAGCAUAUCACUAAGCGGAGGAAAAGAGACUAACCAGGAUUCCCCUAGUAACGGCGAGUGAAGAGGGAAUAGCCCAGCACCGAAGCCUGCGGUAGGUUUACUGCUAGGCAAUGUGGUGUUUGGGUCGACUCGCGGGAUUGCCACUCCACUCGAAGUCCAGCACUGAGUAUGGUUCCCUGGAUUUGGCCCAGAGAGGGUGAAAGGCCCGUGCGAGUGGAGGUUCAGACAUGUGAGGCAAUUCACCAGGUCGACCUUCGAGUCGGGGUGUUUGGAAUGCAGC